rnacentral:rRNA from 1 species
UACAGAGGUCUCAAGCGUUGUUCGGAUUCAUUGGGCGUGAAGGGUGCGUAGGUGGCGUGCUAAGUCAGGGGUGAAAUCCUGGAGCUCAACUCCAGAACUGCCUUUGAUACUGGCGACCUUGAGUCCGGGAGAGGUGAGUGGAACUGCGAGUGUAGAGGUGAAAUUCGUAGAUAUUCGCAAGAACACCAGUGGCGAAGGCGGCGACCUGGACAGAUAUUGACGCUGAGGUGCGAAAGCGUGGGGAGCAAACAGG